UGCGGGAUAGUUUAAUGGCAGAACGGGUGACUCUGACUCACUUAGUCUUGGUUCAAAUCCAGGUCCCGCAG
rnacentral:tRNA from 1 species